AUUGAACGCUGGCGGAAUGCUUUACACAUGCAAGUCGAACGGCAGCACGGACUUCGGUCUGGUGGCGAGUGGCGAACGGGUGAGUAAUGCAUCGGAACGUGCCCAAUCGUGGGGGAUAACGUAGCGAAAGUUACGCUAAUACCGCAUACGAUCUAAGGAUGAAAGCGGGGGAUCGCAAGACCUCGCGCGAAUGGAGCGGCCGAUGUUAGAUUAGGUAGUUGGUGGGGUAAAGGCUCACCAAGCCGACGAUCUAUAGCCGGUCGGAGAGGAUGCUCAGCCAAACUGGGACUGGGACACGGCCCAGAGUCCUACGGGAGGCAGCAGUGGGGAAUUUUGGACAAUGGGCGCAAGCCUGAUCCAGCCAUUCCGCGUGAAGGAUGAAGGCCCUCGGGUUGUAAACUGCUUUUGUACAGAACGAAAAGCUCUGGGUUAAUACCCUGGGGUCAUGACGGUACUGUAAGAAUAAGCACCGGCUAACUACGUGCCAGCAGCCGCCGUAAGAC
rnacentral:rRNA from 1 species